AGUAAUACAUAAGUAACCUGGCCUAGACAGGGGGAUAACUAUUGGAAACGAUAGCUAAGACCGCAUAGGUACGGACACUGCAUGGUGACCGUAUUAAAAGUGCCUCAAAGCACUGGUAGAGGAUGGACUUAUGGCGCAUUAGCUGGUUGGCGGGGUAACGGCCCACCAAGGCGACGAUGCGUAGCCGACCUGAGAGGGUGACCGGCCACACUGGGACUGAGACACGGCCCAG
rnacentral:rRNA from 1 species